rnacentral:rRNA from 1 species
UACAGAGGUCCCAAGCGUUGUUCGGAUUCACUGGGCGUAAAGGGUGCGUAGGCGGUCGGGUAAGUCUGAUGUGAAAUCUCAGAGCUCAACUCUGAAACUGCAUUGGAUACUAUUCGGCUUGAGGUCUGGAGGGGGGACUGGAAUUCUCGGUGUAGCAGUGAAAUGCGUAGAUAUCGAGAGGAAUACCAGUGGCGAAGGCGAGUCCCUGGACAGAUCCUGACGCUGAGGCACGAAAGCUAGGGGAGCAAACAGG